AUCCAGCUGAUGAGUCUCAAAUAGAACGACACCUGCGUCCUGAAU
rnacentral:hammerhead_ribozyme from 1 species